rnacentral:lncRNA from 1 species
GAUCCUGCUGUAUAGCACAGGGAACUAUAGCCAAACACGUGUGAUGGAACAUGAUGGAAGAUAAUGUGAGAAAAAAGAAUGACUAUGUAUGUGUAACUGGGUCACUUUACUGUGCAGCGGAAAUUGAUGGAACAUUGUGAAUCAACUAGAAUAAAAAAUUAAAACUUCUACUGAAGUUCUAAAUGAUACAUUGGGAAAUUUCAGGUCUCAGCUACAAGCUGUUGUUGCUACUAUUGCAGACCUUUUUAGAUACCUCCAAACAUAGUCCUCCCACAGGGUAAAAGCCAAACAAUUUCAUCUAAAGCAUAUGAAGUCCCCACACUCUGAUCACAGACACUAAAUUCAUAUGUCAAAAAACUAGACUGAAAAAGUAUCUUCUUCACUGAUCUUCUUUCUGAAUUCCUUUUUUAAAACAUCCAUCAUAGCCCAGAAACUUCUGGCCAGAAAAAAAAAAAACAAAACUGUCAUAAUGACUGAUUUCCAAACUGCUGAAAGAAGCAAUAAUCAACCCAAGAAACUAUAGAAUCCUAAUUCAGAGGAAACAUGCUGUGAGACCCAGCAUCACGAACCAUUUUUCAGCCGAUCGUUUUUCAUUGCAUGUGUUCUGGGAUUAGAGGACAGGGAAGGGGUUGUGAAUAGAAAUACUGCCUUUAUCUUGAGAAAACUUAUUAUUUCCUAUAACUCCAUGGAAAGAGUUGGUAUGAAGUCUUAGAUAACAGGAUUGUUGACAUUUAGCCAUAGUUCCACUGUGUGGUGAAGUAGAUGCCCAUAGUGAAAAAUCCACUUAACUAAUUUCCCAGAUACAAUUAAAAUCUGACGACUGCUCACUUUGAAUAUGGAGAACAUUCCUGCAUUAAUCAUGACAUAACAGUAUAUUUUAAUUCUUUUUUUUCAAACAGCAGAGACACACUGUACCUGCUUUCCCUUGUAAGUCAACAGCCUGUGACACAUUCUGUACUUUUACUGACUAGCAAUGCAGUGUUACUGUCAAUAAUUAAAUGGAACAUAAGCUAUAGUGUAUUGGAAUUUAAAAUUUUGUAAUCUUAACUUUAGUUCUCCUUGUCAAACAGAUAAGUCCAACUAGUAUUCUUUGGUAUGGAAUGAAAUAAUAAUCAUUCUUAAACGAUGACAUAAUAAGAAAUAAUGAGAUUCUGAGUAAAGUAUAACAUCAAAUCAUAUUUUCUAUUUUUCUGUAUUUGUCUUCCUUUGACAAUGAAUUGUGUUAGUUUAUCACAUAUUAAUGUAAAGUUAAAAUAAGCUCUUAACGCCCUGUUCUGUAAUGUUCUUGACACAAUUUCGGGCCUUAUGUUAAGUAAAUAUCAGUAUAUCUGUGAGUUGAUUAUGUGAUACUUUCAUCUGAUCCCUUUUAUAAAUUUGUCAUUGGAUUUAAAGUGUUAUCAUUGCAAAUGUUAUGUGCAAAAUUCAAUAAAAUACCGAAAAAAC